ACGAACACACACCCAACAACAUAGUUCCAGUGUCAAGCCGUCCUGUACGUCAUCGUGCUCCCUGCUCAGCGCGUUUUGCAACUUUCUUCUUGCAUGCUGACGCUCUUCUCUCCUGAGUGUCUCUCCUGUGUGCUACUUCACCCGCUUGUCCCCGUGACUGUCGCACCUUUUUCUGCAUCUCCUUGUUUUUGUCUUUUUGCCUACUGCGGCGCAUCUCGCGGGCCUGCAAGUGCGCGUGUUCGCGGGUAGGAGGGAGCGGCGUAUUAGACGAUCGAGAAGUGCUCGCCUAACUGUUUCGUCACGCCGAGGGCGGGCAACACCGACGGCGAUCCGCAUAAGCAUACGCGGUACUCACAAGCAGGGAAACGCACGACAGGAAAAUGCCUUUAGAGAAUGGAGAAGUCCUUUCACGGUGCGUCCAGCAAGUCGCCAAGGCAUGCAGUGAUGCGCAAAGCUCCGUGAAAGAGCUGGGGACGGGCCGGGACGCCAUUGCCCGUGAUCGACUCCGUCGAAUCCGGCUUCUCGUGCAGCAGUGCAACAGUCGCGUAGAGGAAUUGCUCAGCGAUGCAGAACCUUUUCUCGAGUCGCUGAGGCAGCAGUACGCCCAACAGAAGGCAGUUUUCGAGCUCAUCAAUGCCGAGGCCACGCGUCGGGAGCGGCAGACGUUCCGGCAGACAGAUCCGGCCAGCAUGCGGGAAGGCGACCUCGACGCUCUAGAGCCGCAGGUGACAUUUUGCGAGGCGCGCCCCCUCAAUGUGUCGGAGUUUCACACGGAGGAGGCGAUUCAGCGUGAGAAGCUACAGAGUGCGCGCGAGGUCGAGUCAGAUGUGAUGGACCUGAAGAUGGCGUACCAGGAGUUCCACUCACUCGUGCAUCAGCAACAGGAAAGCCUAGAUCGUGUGACGAACAACGUGACGGAGUCCCGCUCUCUUAUCGAGCGCGGGCACGAUCAGAUCCAAGGCGCCACGCGCCGGCAGCGAUCUUUUCGAAAAAUUGGCUGCAUUAGCGGCGCUGUAGUCAUCGUCAUUAUGACUAUCGUCAUAAUUGUAGUCACAGUUGCCACCCGAUGACUGUCGUUCGCUUCGUUGCCGUUUCUCUUUUUUGACUGUCCCCAUCGUCGCUCUCCCGAUUUCCCCUCCUCCCCACUCGCUCUCUUUUUCCUGCGCAGCGGCAGAAACCGAUGUGGAGUGCGCGUGUUGUGCAGCGAGCCAUACUGAGCACGCCGCUGCAGCCAUGGCCUGUGCUUGUGUGCUGUCUCUGCAUUUUGCCUCCCCCUUUUUACUCAUCACUGCUCGCCUCCUCCUCGCGUCGACGCUUUGCUCCACUUUGUCUUCUGCUUUGUGUUUCUAUAUGUGUGUGCGUAUGCCUGUGCCCCGGUGCAGGCUCGCACGCGACGAAGGCGCUGAUGAUCGCCACACCGCCAUCCGAUUUGAGCCGAAAUGAAGCGUCACAGAGACACGCGAAAAACAAAAAAAAAGAGAUAUGUAAACUCAGCGUUGCAAGCAAGAGGCCAUGACUCCCGCUCACCGGCGCCGAUGAGAAUAUGGCUUGCGCUGUUGAGCGGAGAUCCACGCGCACACAGACGCUUGUUUGUUCCAUUGGGCACAAGCGAUACCUUUUUCUUUGCUCUCUGUGCAUGCAUCCCCCCAUCUUUCGCAGCGCUCACCUUCACCUUUAGUCUUUUUCUCCUUCUCCUUUGUACUCAAAUUAACGGGGAUCCGCCGGUGCACC
rnacentral:misc_RNA from 1 species